rnacentral:rRNA from 2 species
CGAGUGAAGCGGCAACAGCUCAAAUUUGAAAUCUGGCUCUUUCAGAGUCCGAGUUGUAAUUUGCAGAGGGCGCUUUGGCUUUGGCAGCGGUCCAAGUUCCUUGGAACAGGACGUCACAGAGGGUGAGAAUCCCGUACGUGGUCGCUAGCUAUUGCCGUGUAAAGCCCCUUCGACGAGUCGAGUUGUUUGGGAAUGCAGCUCUAAAUGGGAGGUAAAUUUCUUCUAAAGCUAAAUAUUGGCCAGAGACCGAUAGCGCACAAGUAGAGUGAUCGAAAGAUGAAAAGCACUUUGGAAAGAGAGUCAAACAGCACGUGAAAUUGUUGAAAGGGAAGCGCUUGCAGCCAGACUUGCUUGCAGUUGCUCAUCCGGGCUUUUGCCCGGUGCACUCUUCUGCAGGCAGGCCAGCAUCAGUUUGGGCGGUGGGAUAAAGGUCUCUGACACGUUCCUUCCUUCGGGUUGGCCAUAUAGGGGAGACGUCAUACCACCAGCCUGGACUGAGGUCCGCGCAUCUGCUAGGAUGCUGGCGUAAUGGCUGU